rnacentral:rRNA from 1 species
AUACGGAGGGUGCAAGCGUUAAUCGGAAUUACUGGGCGUAAAGCGCGCGUAGGCGGUUUAGUAAGUCGGAUGUGAAAGCCCCGGGCUCAACCUGGGAAUUGCAUUCGAUACUGCUUGACUAGAGUAUGGUAGAGGGAAGUGGAAUUUCCGGUGUAGCGGUGAAAUGCGUAGAUAUCGGAAGGAACACCAGUGGCGAAGGCGACUUCCUGGGCCAAUACUGACGCUGAGGUGCGAAAGCGUGGGGAGCAAACAGGAUUAGAUACCCCAGUAGUCC